rnacentral:rRNA from 1 species
UACGUAGGUGGCGAGCGUUAUCCGGAAUUACUGGGCGUAAAGCGCACGCAGGCGGCUCUUUAAGACUGACGUGAAAGCUCCUGGCUUAACUGGGAGAGGUCGUUGGUGACUGGGGGGCUUGAGGCGAUGAGAGGGGUGUGGAAUUCCCGGUGUAGUGGUGGAAUGCGUAGAUAUCGGGAGGAACACCAGUGGCGAAAGCGGCACCCUGGCAUUGGCCUGACGCUCAUGUGCGAAGGCGUGGGGAGCGAACGGGAUUAGAUACCCCGGUAGUCCACGCGGUAAACGAUGAACACUAGGUGUAGGUGGUGUGAAAACUAUCUGUGCCGAAGCUAACGCGAUAAGUGUUCCGCCUGGGGAGUACGGCCGCAAGGCUAAA